ACCGGCGCACGGGUGAGUAACGCGUAUCCAACCUGCCCAUCACUUGGGGAUAACCUUGCGAAAGUAAGACUAAUACCCAAUGGUGAUGGAUGGGGAUGCGUCUGAUUAGCUUGUUGGCGGGGUAACGGCCCACCAAGGCGACGAUCAGUAGGGGUUCUGAGAGGAAGGUCCCCCACAUUGGAACUGAGACACGGUCCAAACUCCCACGGGAGGCAGCAGUGAGGAAUAUUGGUCAAUGGACGAGAGUCUGAACCAGCCAAGUAGCGUGCAGGAUGACGGCCUAUGGGUUGUAAACUGCUUUUAUAAGGGAAUAUGUACCUUAUGAAUAAGGACCGGCUAAUUCCGUGCCAGCAGCCGCGGUAAUACGGAAGGUCCGGGCGUUAUCCGGAUUUAUUGGGUUUAAAGGGGGCGUAGGCCGGAGAUUAAGCGUGUUGUGAAAUGUAGACGCUCAACGUCUGCACUGCAGCGCGAACUGGUUUCCUUGAGUACGCACAAAGUGGGCGGAAUUCGUGGUGUAGCGGUGAAAUGCUUAGAUAUCACGAAGAACUCCGAUUGCGAAGGCAGCUCACUGGAGCGCA
rnacentral:rRNA from 1 species